UUCCCCAAGGUAUACAUUGGCAAUCAUCCCCCAGGCAUAUGGCCCACCGAUGUGCAUCGGAAGGGUCUCGUGACUAGGGUUUGAUUAGACAGUAAUAAAUGACCUUUUGCUAACACUAGCGAGUCCCCUCAAGGUCCUGGAAAUCUUCCUUCCAAAGUUCCUUAGAGACUUACCUUCUCCCUAACCCCCUCUCAACUUGAAAGUAGGUCAUGGGCCACUCCUCAUGACCCCAGUGCAGCUUUUUCUACCCACGGGUCCUGUCCCCUGCUUUCAUAAAACCACCUUUUUGCACCAAAGAUGUCUCAAGAAUUCUUUCCUGGCUGUCAGUUUCCAACGCUAACAUCUUUCCCACGUCAUCUACACUGGGAGGGUGACGCACCCCAACACCAUGAAGAAAGACGGUUCUUCACUAGGGAGCCUCCCCCCUUACCCUAGGGAGCUCCUUAUCUGGCUCUUCCUCUGUCUCCUUUAUCAUAUCUGUAGGAAACUGGUCAACCAUCAGUGUUUCCUUGAGUUCUCUGCGCCACUCCAGCAAAGUAAUGGAACGAGCAAGGGAGUUGGCGGAAGGUCAGAUUCAUAGCCAGGCAGUCAGAAGCGCAGGGGACAAGCUGGACUUGCAACUGGCAACUGGACUGGAGAAGUCUUGUGCGUUUGUGGUGUGUUUUCUCCUAAAGAACUGAAAUCGUGGAGCGUGAAACACUAAAGCCUGAGGGAAGGAAGCACUCAAUGGGUAUCAGGAAGUCAUAAUUUCCUCACAACUUCUUUGAGGAAGUUAUCACUUCUUCUUUGUGCCUAUAAGUAGGCUUGCUCUUCCUGUGUCUGCAGGGAUAUGGGCUUUAAACAGGCUCGGAACCCUUCCCUGCUGCACGCAUGCGGCGCUGGCCUACCUGGCAGAGGAACAGCAGACCAAAGCCUCUGAGCCUGGCACUCACCACUGCCUCUGUUCUCAGCGGGACCCCAGCAGGAGACCUGACAUGAUGCUGGA